CGCCUAAGUUUUAUGUUAUUUAUUUGCUAUGAUUAUGUGUUGUUGUGGCCUUUUUUUAAUACAAAUCUUGUGAUGGUUUUGUAGUGAAUGAACCAGAUUUCAGCCAAGACCAUUAAGGAAUUUUAUUCUUGAGAGAGUACAAAUGUUUUUGCACGUCUUUGCUCAAAGCUUUUAGGAUGAUUUAAGUUUCUUCGAAGCUUGCUUGGAAAAAAGUUUGGUGAUCAAAUUUCAGAUAUUGUUAGCAUCCAAGUGCUCUUGGGUUUGUAAACCAGAAAUGUCAAUCCAAACUGAAGCUUUUGAUAGUGAUAUCAGAGCCCUUGAUGCUGGUGAUCAAAUUCUCAAAUCAAGUUACUAGCCUUUUGAUUGCUUCAGAUUUCUGAAGCCAAAGUCUUUGUGCUCUAAAUUCAGUUCUUGGCCAUGUAAUCUUGUCAUGCUUAGAUAGCUAUAUCUAGUGUCCUGCCAGCUUAAUUUUGAUGCGUAAGUAUCAAUUAUUAAAAGUUAGAUUCAUUCUGAUGCUCAAAAUGAGCCGUUUUCUCCUAUUUUGAAAUACCAAUUUCAUAUCAAAUGUCUUGUGCAUGUAGAUUUUGCUGUUUACUUCAAAUUGGACUGGCUUACUUGAUGAGCAGAACUCGAAAAGCAACUCAAAUACUCAUGUUAUACAAUACUCAGCACACGGUUUUUUAGGCUUUAAAACGUCAUUAAUGAAAGUUACCCAUUCGGUUGUUUA